UACACUUUCGGCAGCGACACCAAACUGGAUGUUGGCACCGUCUCUCCUCCUCAAGUGAGCGUCCUGUCGCCCUCCAGUGCAGAGAUCUCCUCCAAGCGGGCGGCUACACUGCUGUGUGUGGCCAACAAGGGCUUCCCGUCAGACUGGAGGCUGGUCUGGAAGGUCCUCAACAGCAGCGGGGGUCAGGAGAGCAGCAGUGCUGGGCUCCUGGAGAAGGACGGUCUGUACAGCUGGAGCAGCAGCCUGACUCUCACUGAGCAGCAGUGGAUGGAGAGCGUCUCAGUGAGCUGUGAGGCCACACGGAGCGGCCAGCCUGCGCUCACUGCAGGAGACACUGUGACGAGACAGCAGUGUUCAGAGUAG
ensembl:processed_transcript